GGAGGACACUCAGGCUUAGCGAAAACUUCAUCAUGGCACCUGAUGGUGAACAGAAAAAACCCUCGGCUUCGGAGACCUAACUCAUUACUCUUGGCCCAGUAUCAGGAUGCUGCCUCUUUAAAUUUUUGACAUUUACUAUGCUUUUUUGCUGCAACCAUCUGGUAGGCCAUUGCAUUAGAACCUAAGAAGCCUUGAAUUAACUCUAUAAAAAGUACAGCUUAGACAGAAAUCAAACUGGAAUCCUAAAGGAGAAUGGGGGAGAGGGGAGGAAGCACUGGCCUAUGGUUCCAGACACCUGGGCUCUCUCCUUACCUUCGUUGCUAACUAGCUGUGUGACAUUGGGCAUAUCACUCAGUCUUUCUGGUCCUUAACUUUCUCAUCGACGCAAUGACCAGGAGUGACUGCAUAAUUUUAGGAGCCCUCCAGCUUGAAAUACUACCAUCUUAACCUUGAAAGCUGGUGUGAGGCAGCAGACAUGCACAUGAUGAGCGCGGAACGUACCAGCAAGUCUACCCAAAAGAGUUCACCCCUCAGGGGCUUUCCUGAAACUGCCUUCUGAGGAAUGCUGCACAUUUUUGAGAAGUUAAUUACAAACCGAAUUGCUUUCUCGUUGACCAACAAAUGAAGAACACCCUAGAGAUUUAUGGCACCUUUUUCAAAAGAAUGUAUUUCACUCCGGUGAGAAAUUCUAUUUUUCUUGUUCAUAAAAUUUCUAAUUUGAUUUGUCUCAGUAAAAAUUAAAAAUGUAUAUCACUGGUGGAUCA